rnacentral:rRNA from 1 species
UGGGGAAUUUUGGACAAUGGGGGAAACCCUGAUCCAGCCAUCCCGCGUGUGCGAUGAAGGCCUUCGGGUUGUAAAGCACUUUUGGCAGGAAAGAAACGUCAUGGGUUAAUACCCCGUGAAACUGACGGUACCUGCAGAAUAAGCACCGGCUAACUACGUGCCAGCAGCCGCGGUAAUACGUAGGGUGCAAGCGUUAAUCGGAAUUACUGGGCGUAAAGCGUGCGCAGGCGGUUCGGAAAGAAAGAUGUGAAAUCCCAGAGCUCAACUUUGGAACUGCAUAUUUAACUACCGGGCUGGAGUGUGUCAGAGGGAGGUGGAAUUCCGCGUGUAGCAAUGAAAUGCGUAGAUAUGCAGAGGAACCCCGAUGGCGAAGUCAGCCUCCUGUGAUAACACUACCGCUCAUGCACGAAAGCGUGGGGGGCAAACAGG